GCACACGCCUAUCACAUUCCGCCUGAAUUUUGUCGCAAACGGCGUUCCAUAGCAAUGGACUCUGAUGAAUGGACCAACGGUAGAUUACGUCAUGAGGAGGCUGAGAGCCUGCAGGGUGGGUGGGGCUCACACACACAAGCCCCAUGCAGUAUGCACACGUACACAGUACAGUGCUAGACGCUCAAGUAUCCACUGCAGCAUGUAGACUAGAUCUACUGUUGAUUGAAGCAUAGAUAGUAGAAGAAGUAAGGGAGUAGUCUCUCGAAACAUGUCUGUCGAUUCCUCUACUAUAUAUCUAUAAUUGAAGCAACAAUUUAAGAAAGGUAUGGAACAGCUGGUCCAGGUCUCCUUGGUGUCGUCCUUUCACUCCCUACACAAAGUACAAGUGUUUAAACAUUUUCGGUAUGGCUCCGUUGGUAUCAGGUAAACCUGAAAAUGCAUUCGUUGGUCCAUUAAAGUUCCUAUUUCAGUGGGUGGACCAACGGGCUGGUUAACAAGCAAGAAAAUAGUUUACUUACAUUGUACUUUGCAUGCAUUCUUUUUUAUAGUCGUAUCCGAGCUCAUUUAAAAGCUUGGUGUCUUUGUUGGCAUCAGGAAAACCUGCUCGUUAGUCCAUACAGGAGGCCGUUUCUGGAAACUAGGUGGACCAACGGCCUGGACGACAAUUUGGUGUGAUUAUGAGCUCAUUUCAAAGCUUGGUGUCUCCGUUGGCAUCAUUAUAAACUGGAAAUCCUGCUUGUUGGUCUAUGAGGUUUCCUGUUUCUGGAAACUGGAUGGACCAACGGCCUGGACGACAAUUUGGUGUGAUUAUGAGCUCAUUUCAAAGCUUGGUGUCUCCGUUGGCAUCAUUAUAAACUGGAAAUCCUGCUUGUUGGUCUAUGAGGUUUCCUGUUUCUGGAAACUGGAUAGACCAACGGCCUGGACGACAAUUUGGUGUGAUUAUGAGCUCAUUUCAAAGCUUGGUGUCUCCGUUGCAUCAUUAUAAACUGGAAAUCCUGCUUGUUGGUCUAUGAGGUUUCCUGUUUCUGGAAACUGGAUGGACCAACGGCCUGGACGACAAUUUGGUGUGAGCAAGCUUGCAUGGUGUCUCCGUUGGCAUCAUUAAACUGGAAAACCUGCUCGUUGGUCCAUAUAAGGUUUCAUGUUUCUGGAAACUGGGUGGACAAUUAAUGGCCUGAACGACAAGUAAGAAAAUAGUUCACGCACUUUCUUUUAAUGUGUUCCAGGUUGGUGUGAGCUUCAAAGCUUGCAUGGUGUCUCCGUUGGCAUCUUUAAACUAGAAAACCUGCUCAUUGGUCCAUAAGAUUUCCUGCUUCUGGAAACUAGGUGGACCAACGGCCUGGACGACAAGUAAGAAAUAGUUCACGCAGCUUGAAUGCAAUGUGUUCCAGGUUGGUGUCAGCUCAUUUCAAAGCUUAGUGUCUCUUGUUUGCAUCAAUUAAGGAAACUAGGUGGACCAACGGCCUGGACGACAAUUGGUUGUCAGAGCUUGGUGGCUCUCCGUUGGCAUCAUGCAGUUAUACUAAUAAACCUGGACGUUGGCCCAUAACCUUUUCUGUUUUGGAAACUGGGUGGACCAACAGCCUGGACGACACUGACAGGUGGGUAUCAGCUCAUUUCAAAUGCUGCAUGCAUGGUGGCUUUGUUGGAAACUCGAAAACCUGUUCCCUGCAUGGUCUAUCAGAAUAUCAUAUCCAGCCGGAAAUUGGAUAGACAACAGCCUAUACGACAGCUGCAUCUACAGACUCUAUUAUACAUCAGACUGAAUGAAAGCCUCACUGCGACUCUGUAUAUGCUGAAAUCUACAAUGACAUUUAAGGAUUCUGUUUCCGUGUAGAGUAAGAGGCUGGCACGGGAUUAAUUCUUGUUGCUGUCAAUCUCCCAAAGAAAACGUACAUUAUUAUGCAUGUGAUUGAGUUUCUGGAGUCUAAUUCGACCAGUACCUAUACAUGCAUUGUCUAUGUUCUUGACUCCCAGUCGCCAAUUCUCUCACCUUUUACUGAGCAGGCAACAUGCAUGCACAAGACAUUAAUCAAUUCUUAAGCAUGUGCAUUCGAUCACCUGCAAAGAUGGAUAUACAGUGUGUGAAGGUGGCCGCUCAGGAUGGAGUUGAAUGUGGCAUUCAUGUGAUACACAAUAAUUAUUAUGACAAUGGUCAAGUUUUCUGGACUACCUGCAUCAAAGCACCUGCAAAAGUCUGUAAACACUGCUGAAUUACGUGGAUUGAUCCUGUUAUCAUGCUACUCCACUCAACAAAGCCAAAAGACAUCUCACGGCAUCAGAAGGAGUAAAAGGGUUGCUAAUACAGAUCUGCAGACUGAUGAUGAUGCCAGUGUAUCUGUUAAGAAGACAGCAAAAUCGAAGCCUUAACUGCUAACAUUAAUUAUAUAGCUUGUAGUAUAGCUCAGAAUGUUUAUUUACUAUUGUAUAUAAUUAUGUGCAAUAAUAUAGUUACUAGUUUCCCUCAUAUAGUUUCUCAUCUGUUAUUCCCCCAUGCAUAUAAUUAUAUGAUUGUGUU